UACAGAGGUCUCAAGCGUUGUUCGGAUUCAUUGGGCGUAAAGGGUGCGUAGAUGGUCUGAUAAGUUACCAGUGGUAAAAUCGAGGCUCAACCUCGUGGAAGCUGGUAAUACUGUCAGACUAAGAGUUCAGAAGAGGUUAACGGAAUUCCCCUGUGGAGCGGUAAAAAUGCGUAGAGAUAGGGAGGAACAUCAAUAAAAGGCGAAGGCAGUUAACUAUUCUGUUACUGACAUUGAGGCACGAAAGCGUGGGGAGCAAAACGG
rnacentral:rRNA from 1 species